rnacentral:rRNA from 1 species
GUCCACGCUGUAAACGAUGUCGACUUGGAGGUUGUGCCCUUGAGGCGUGGCUUCCGGAGCUAACGCGUUAAGUCGACCGCCUGGGGAGUACGGCCGCAAGGUUAAAACUCAAAUGAAUUGACGGGGGCCCGCACAAGCGGUGGAGCAUGUGGUUUAAUUCGAUGCAACGCGAAGAACCUUACCUGGCCUUGACAUGUCUGGAAUCCUGCAGAGAUGCGGGAGUGCCUUCGGGAAUCAGAACACAGGUGCUGCAUGGCUGUCGU